rnacentral:rRNA from 1 species
UACGUAGGGUGCAAGCGUUAUCCGGAAUUAUUGGGCGUAAAGAGCUCGUAGGCGGUUUGUCGCGUCUGCUGUGAAAACUGGAGGCUCAACCUCCAGCCUGCAGUGGGUACGGGCAAACUAGAGUGCGGUAGGGGAGAUUGGAAUUCCUGGUGUAGCGGUGGAAUGCGCAGAUAUCAGGAGGAACACCGAUGGCGAAGGCAGAUCUCUAGGCCGUAACUGACGCUGAGGAGCGAAAGCAUGGGGAGCGAACAGG